rnacentral:rRNA from 1 species
AGUGAACGCUGGCGGCAGGCCUAACACAUGCAAGUCGAACGGCAGCACAGUAAGAGCUUGCUCUUACGGGUGGCGAGUGGCGGACGGGUGAGGAAUACAUCGGAAUCUACUUUUUCGUGGGGGAUAACGUAGGGAAACUUACGCUAAUACCGCAUACGACCUACGGGUGAAAGCAGGGGAUCUUCGGACCUUGCGCGAUUGAAUGAGCCGAUGUCGGAUUAGCUAGUUGGCGGGGUAAAGGCCCACCAAGGCGACGAUCCGUAGUUGGUCUGAGAGGAUGAUCAGCCACACUGGAACUGAGACACGGUCCAGACUCCUACGGGAGGCAGCAGUGGGGAAUAUUGGACAAUGGGCGCAAGCCUGAUCCAGCCAUACCGCGUGGGUGAAGAAGGCCUUCGGGUUGUAAAGCCCUUUUGUUGGGAAAGAAAAGCAGCAGGUUAAUACCCCGCUGUUCUGACGGUACCCAAAGAAUAAGCACCGGCUAACUUCGUG